ensembl:lncRNA JPX JPX transcript, XIST activator
UGGAAGACUUAAGAUGGCGGCGUUUGCACGGAGUGCAAUCACUGCGUCCUUACGGGGGUUGCAAGGCGUCCGAAGUAUGAGUCCACUAACAAAAGUCCAGAAACUCGCCAGUUAAUAGUAUUGUGUCUCUUCAAAAUAUCGGAGAAUAAUUUCUUUCUCGCUGAUCGCCUAACUUCUACUGACGAAGCUUGGAAGUUGCAGAAGGCUGGAGUGCAAUGGCGCCAUCUCGUCUCACUGCAACUUCCGCCUCCCGGGUUCAAGCGAUUCUCCUGCCUCAGCCUCCCAAGUAGCUGGGAUUACAGAUGGAGUUCGCUCUUGUUGCCCAGGCUGGAAUGCAAUGGCAUGACCUUGGCUCACUGCAACCUCUGCCUCCCCAGUUCAAGUGGUUCUCCUGCCUCAGCCUCCCGAGUAGCUGAGAUUACAGGUACUGGCUCCUGUAUCACCCAGCUCUGGAGUUGAAAGAGCUCUUCAUUCCUGAGUCUCCUGUACCACUGAGAAUAGGCUGGAGUGCAGUGGCGCAAUCUCGGCUCUCUGCAACCUUCACCUCCCGUGUUCAAGUGAUUCUCCUGCCUCAGCCUCCUGAAUACCUGAGAUUACAAGCAUGAGCCACCGCGUCCAGCAAGAAUAGGUGAUUUUCAAACUUGGAAACAUUCAGAAGUUAUCGCCUCAGUUUCAGAUUGAGUAGUCUCAAAGAGAUUACAGACAUCUACCACAAAUUCUCUACUUGGUGUGGUGCAAAAUCAGUAUGAUGUAAACUUUGUCUCUCAGUUUCUUCAAAGGAAAGAAGCAACUGGAACACACAUAUAACACUAACCCUUCCAGCUGCAUUAUGAGGGACCAGUACCUGUCUCAAGGCAAAAUUAUGACUUAGUUCAUCCUCACCUCUGGAGGCCAGUAAAAGUGGGUUAUAGAAGAACAAAGAGGCAUCUAGAUCUUUCACUGGGUUAUUUGGAGAGAAACAUCUCCUACCGAAGGCCAGUUUAACAAGACUGGUAGAGGAGGUUAUCUUAUCUAAUUCACAGAAAUCAACACAUUGAGUCAAGAAAAAUGAAACACAGAAACACUCUAAAUAAAAGAAGAUAAGUCUUCAGAAACCAACCCUAAUGAAAUGAAGAUAUGUGAUUAACCUGACAGGAAAUUAAAAAGAGCAACCAUAAAGAGUCUCAUGGGAGCAAUGCAUGAACAAACUGAGAAUUUUCAUAAAGAAAUAAAAGAUAACAAAAAGUAUAAAGUUGAAGAAUACAAUAACUGGACUCAAAAAUUUAAUGUGUCCAACAGAAGAAUCGAUGAAGCAGAAGAAAGGGCUAUCAAACUUGUAGAUAGGCCAUUGGAAAUCAUGUAAUGUGAGGAGAAAAAAGAAAAAAGAUUGAAGAUAGUUUAAGAGACUUUUGAGACAUCCUCAAAGGGGAAUAAUUUAUACAUUACCAGAUGGAGAAGAUAGAGGGAAAAGGACAGAAAACAUAUUUGAAGAAAUAAUGUCAGAAAACCUCAUAAUUCUGGCAAGGAAAUAGAAAUUUAGAUCUAAGAAUCUCGAACAUCAGGUAUGAUGAAUCCAAGGAGACUCACACCAAACCAUAUUGUAAUUAAAUAAAGGUUAAAGACAAUCUUCAGAGCAGCAAGGGAA